rnacentral:lncRNA from 1 species
AUAGAACUCAAACUCACAACUUUAUACUCUGAUGCUAUCAAAAUAACUAUUUAACAUGGCUAGGUUACUAUACUCUAACUUAUGAGUAUUAGCCCUUUUAUACUCAUAAAUUUUCAAUCGUUGGAUGAAGACAUGUACGGUUAGGAUGAUAAUGGUUCUCAAUUAGGUUAAUAGUGAUUUUUUAGAGUUGAGUGGUUGGUUGGUUGAAUAGUAUGAUCUAACGAGUGUAAAUAGUCAAAAAAAUAGAUCUACGGGUUGAAAACUUAGAAGUACAAAAAAGCCUAUACUUGUAAAAAUAUAGGACGUAUUUGGUUCGCUUCUUUUUCACCCUGGAAUCAGAAUCGGAAUGAGUGAAUCCGUUUGUAGGUGUUUGGUACGCGGGAGUUCCAUUCCGAUUCCGAUUUCCGAGUGGAAUGGGAAUCCCCCAAUCACCUUUUUUUUCAAUCCGGCCAAGGAGGCCAGCCUACGAGGCCGGAUUGGAAGUUGAAUCUGGAAGGAAUGGAUAUUUAUUCGGAUUAAAUUUAUUUUUUCAAUUUUUUAAUUAAAAUAUGAGUUAAAAUUUAAAAAUUAAAUAUAUAAUUUUAAAAUUUACUUCGAACUUUAAAUUAAAAAUUAAAAUUUAAUUAAGUAUUUCGAAUCUAACUUAUGAAUUUGAAUUUAAAUUAAAUUUUAAUUUAUAUAAAGUUUUAUUCAAAUUUUAUUUCAAACUUAAAUUAAAUUUAAGGAUUCAAAUUAAAAUUGUAAUUGUAAUUUUAAGUUUGAAUUUGAAUAAAUCAAAAUUUAGUUUUAUAUUUUGAAUUAUCCACUCAACUUCAAAGUUUAAUUUUUUUUAACAAAAAAUAGAUUUAAAAUUUUGAUAUUAUUUCAAAAUUUUGAUAUAAAUUUUUAAUAUUUAAUUUUUAAUUUGAAUUUAAAUUAAUAUAUUAUAAAGAUAAUGCUAGUAUAUUAAUUUGAUUACGUUUUUUAUAUCCACCUGAACCAAACACCCACAAUGGGAAUGAUUUAUUCCGAUUCCGAUUCAGGUGAUGAACCAAACAGAAUUAGGUAAUGAGUCAUUUCGAUUUCGAUUCCAGCUUAUUUUGAUCCCGAUUCCGAUUCCGACUCCGAACCAAACACACCCUAUACUAUUUGAACUCACUUAUCAUUACAUAUUUUAAUAUUUAUAUACAACAGUAACUAUUUUUUUAAAUUAGUUUUUUUAAAAAA